AAAAUUUCAGUAUUUUUUUCUAUUUUUGAAAAUUAAUGUUGAUCAAUUAUCCGUAAUUAAUCAUUAGUUGAAGUUUGAAUUGUAAUAAGAACAAAUUUUUUUUUAACCUCCCAAUCAAUUUCUCUUAAAAGCAUAUUACUACAAAUAAUGUAAUUUCUUUCAAUCUUUUUUUGCAUGCACACUUUCACGGAGAAAUAAUUAUAUUUUUAUUUUAAGAAUAUUUUUUUUUCCCUGUUAAUUGUUAUUGGUUAUUUAAUAUAUGAAUAAUAGCUGGAAAGUGAAGGUUUUUAUUGCUUUUUUUUUCUUCUUCCAAUUUAAAGAAAAUGGUUUCCUAAAUAAUAUUGAACCUUCUCACUAAAUAAAAAUUAAAUAAAAUAUGCCAACGAGUCUAACUCAAUAAACAAGUACCUUAACUUGCAAAUCAAGGUUUAAAAUUCAAACCCCCGUAUCAUUAUUUGUUUUGUAUAUGUAAGAAAUUUGCCUCAACCUUUAAUUCUUUGAAAUAUUAAUGGGGCAAGAGUACGAUUAAUAGUGACUUAAUGAGUAGCUCAAAGGAAAUUCAUAGGCCGAGCGGACUCAAGAAAAUCUUGAUUGCAUACGUGUUGGGGUUGGAAGGACCCAUCCACGAUAGUGAAAUUGGAAUGAUUCAAAGUGGGGUCAGAAACGUGUUUGUAAACAAACUGUGAUUUGAUCCAAGGUGACAAAGACCUCCACCUAAACCAUUCACGAUAGUGAAAUUGGGGAAUUUAUUGGUGGAACAUAGAGGGCUAUAAAACAUGAGCCCACACCAAUUGGGGAAUUUUUAGGUCCUCAAUUAUCCUCUUUUUUACUUCAAACCAUAUCCCCUCCGUUCUAAUCGCCAAAGCCAUCGACCCGACUGUUGAGAGCAUCCUCCAUUGUGUUAAACUUGAGUAAUGCUCCUAUUGUAAUUUUCUGAAGAAAAAAUAAUUUCCACCCAGGAAAAAUUGUUAUGGCAAGAAGUGAAUCAUGAAAUUGGGCAAGUUCGAAGGCAAGAUUUACCUAAGUUGUUGCCUGAGCAAGUUGACGUCAUAUUAAUGUCAAUGUGAAGUCAGCGACCAAUUUAAACACCAAAAAAAUUGAAAAAAAAGAAGAAAAAACCCUUUGCCAUGACACAACGGAUGAAAGUGCUCUUAAGAGGCAUAGGUGGUAUGUGAAUUAGCUAUUUCUAGCCUUUCCUUUUAGUAGUUAUAAGCUAGCCACCAAAUGGGCAAUUAAGCUUGUAAUAGAUAUUUUGUUGUAGAGAGAGUUGCUCUCAUGGUGAAUCAAUUGCAAAAAUAGAGAAAUCAGUCUGGAUUUCUCUCUAAAGCUACAUCUCUGAGUUCCAAUUCCAAAAUUCUCUUUCUCUUAUCUGUGCAUAAUCUCUUGAGUGAUUUGCUACUAGUAUUACCAAAAAAUUCCAACACAUUGAAGAUCGUAGAUAGCAAAACAAAUUUGAAAGAUCUAGUGCCUCACAACUCAUUGCCAAUUGGUUUUGAGUUGGAUGUUGAUAUUCUAACAUAGUAUCAAAGUUAGGUUAUUUACUUGAUAGGCUCAACGACCCCACGUACUCUUAUGUCAGUCGAUAAAAAUUGUCCACAUAUUAGGAACAUAAGACCUCACAUGAGGGGAUGUAUUGAAAGAAUCCCAUAUUAGAUAUGAAAAUCUAACAUAAAAAGUUUAAAAGAUUAUGAACCUCUCUAUUCAAUAUUACCAAUUGAUUUUGAGUUGAAAACUCAUGUUCUAAUCAACCACCUCCCUAAUUGGUGCUGGUGUUGGCCCG
rnacentral:lncRNA from 1 species